GAUUGCAGGCUGCAACCCGCCCUGCAUGAAGUUGGAAUCACUAGUAAUCGCGGAUCAGCAUGCCGCGGUGAAUGCGUUCUCGGGCCUUGUACACACCGCCCGUCACACCAUGAGAGUCGGGAACACCCGAAGUCCGUAGCCUAACCGCAAGGGGGGCGCGGCCGAAGGUGGGCUCGAUAAUUGGGGUGAAGUCGUAACAAGGUACC
rnacentral:rRNA from 1 species